CCUUUGUUGUAAUUUCAAGAUGUUCACAGUAUCUAUACCAGUAGUAGAUUCCAUCCCAAGAAAUGACUUUCUUUGCUCAUCCAUAAGAAGCAACUUAUCCAUUCAAGUUUUAUUAUGAUAUUGCAGCAAUUCAAGUCACACCUUCAUGCUGUACUCAUAUUCUAGUUAUCUUGCUAUUUCUACUACAUCUGCUGUUAAUUUCCCCUGUUGAAGUCUUGAACCUCUCAGACAUCUAUGAGAGUUAG